rnacentral:lncRNA from 1 species
AUGUCUUUCUUACACAUCUUUCUUCACGUGAAGGGUUCCACGCCCGUCCUCAUGAGGAUACACACCUCCUAUGUUUUCAGAUCCAAGAGUUGGAUGCCCAAGAGAAAACAAGUCAAGAAAAGUUCUUGGCAAAGGAAGGAAAGAAGUCAAGAAAUGUUCUUGACAAAGAGAGAAAGAAAAAAGGGAGAAGCUGCUAGAUUUUCUUGAGAAGAAAAUCAAAAGAGGCUGAGGUUGCUGGAUUUCCUAAAGAAGAAAAUUAAGAAAAGAUCAAAAAGG